CGACAAUCAAUAAUUAACGUAUUACUUGGAGACUAAAAAAUGGAUUCUAUGGGGUGAUAAAAUUUGACUGAAAUACUAGAUAUACAGAUAUACUUCUGGUCGCUCAAAAAUCUUUUGAGCAUUUAAAUCUUUUCCGCUUAUUUAAAUACUGGUAUCUUUUGAACAGUCUAGGAUCAUUUCCGGUUAUUUAAUUGGUUAUUUGCUAUUAUUCUCGGACCAAUACCAUGCCAUUAAUUGUUUGCCGUCAGAUCAUAAAUAAAAUAGAAACGCAUUGCGUUUUCAUAUCAGACACGCGCACAUCAGGAGGAUCGUCUCAUACACUAUUCAGAUUAACGAGCAUUUACAAGGUAUUCGUGAGAUCAUAUGAAAUAAAAAUAAGAUGCGUGUAGAUUGGCAUCAGAAUACUUUUUAUCAUGUCAUUAAGCGCAUAAUCUGAAUAGGAUAUUACAUAUAAUGAUAAAAUGUUAAAAUCUCAGGUUAAAACCAUUGUGUGCAGUGGGAUCAGAAACUUUGGAUACAUUAAUGCUUUUUUUUGUGUAUCUAGUGUCUAUAGUUAUAACGUCGCAGGUUGUUACAACCAUUGUGGAUUUCGAAAAAGCGAUUUACAAUCCCUGCAAAAUCAAACGCAGACCACCGGUUCAAUAGAAGCCACUACACUCAAAAUAAUCCACACUUCAAUGCCACCUGGAAAAUCACGUAGAUCAGACAGAAUGAACUUUCUCCUGACUUCAUCUGUCGAAGGUAACAAUCAUUGGACCUUAGAUAGAAAACAAAUUGAAGACCAGUGAUUGUUAUUGUGGGGCCCUAUGUAUGUCACGUGGAAAUCACGUAGAUGUUCUCAGUAUUCAUUCACUAUUUUAGUUCACUAGGUGCUGUUGUUCGCUGCCAUUUCUGAUUGACUUCUAAUAAAGAAGUCGAAAAUUAACUUAGAAAAACAAGUGGUUUUCGUACAGCAAACCAACCAUAUCGAUUGUUAGUAGAACAAGCCAUGUCUACUUAACUUCUUAAAUCUGCAGAAAUUGAACAAAGAAAUCCAAAGUUACUACCGUUUGAGGCAAAUAGCACACCAUAACACCGAUGAAAUGGCAGUGACGGAGAAGCUACACAUUUGUUUCGUUUUUGAUGUGUAUUAAAUAUAUUUUAUGCUACAAA